rnacentral:lncRNA from 1 species
AAUGUCCUGACAAUGACCUGACAAUGUCCUGACAGAAAUGUAAAUGCUUAAUACUUUUUUAUUAUUGGAAGGAUUUACUUGAAAUUUGGAAUCAAGCAAGAUGAGAACUUAUAUUUAAUAAAUAAAAUUAAAAAAAAAUUAAAAAAUAUUUUUAAGAGUUAGAAAACUUGACCUGACCAACUUGACUUUGAAACUACUAAUGUCCUGACCGAUAUGAAACGGCUAAAAAAUGUUUUAUCAUUUACAGGAUAGACUUCAAAUUCGAUAUCAAGGAAGAUUAAUAC